CGCGGGGAGCGGGGCGCGGCUGAUGAAACCGGCUCCCGAUCCCUCCCGCUCUCAACGCUCCAUUCACUCCGCGAGGGCAGGUGUGAGCGGCAGGUCAGCUGCCGGCGGGGCGCGCGGCCACCUGGCGUCCGUUACCCGAGUCCCCCGCUCCUGCUCCCCGCGCGCCGCGCCUCCGCCCGAGCGUCCGUCAGUCCCGCCGAGCCUCGGUCUAUCGUCCGUCAGUCCAGACGCGGUCUUGCCUGCAUCCCGCCGCCCGCCGGCCCGGAGCCCGCAGCCCCGUCUCGUCCCUCCUGAGACGUCUUCACUCCAGGACCCAGGGAUCCUCGGGGGACGAGGUGACAGUCCUCACGUCACAGUGCAGGUGUGAGCCGCAGGAUGGGGUGCGAGGUGCUGGUGGGCAUCGGGCAGCAGAUGCUGCGGCGGAAGGUGGUGGACUGCAGCUGGGACGAGAGCCGGCUGUCCCGCUGCCUCAACACGUUCGACCUGGUGGCGCUGGGGGUGGGCAGCACGCUGGGGGCCGGCGUCUACGUGCUGGCCGGGGCCGUGGCCCGGGAGGACGCGGGGCCCGCCAUCGUCAUCUCCUUCCUGGUGGCCGCGCUGGCCUCCGUGCUGGCCGGCCUCUGCUACGGCGAGUUUGGCGCUCGGGUCCCCAAGACGGGCUCGGCCUACCUCUACAGCUACGUCACCGUGGGCGAGCUCUGGGCCUUCAUCACCGGCUGGAACCUCAUCCUCUCCUACAUCAUCGGUACUUCGAGCGUAGCCAGAGCCUGGAGCGCAACGUUUGACGAGCUGAUUGGCAGACCCAUCGGGGAGUUCUCGCGGACGUACAUGGCCCUGAAUGCACCCGGGGUGCUGGCCGAAAACCCGGACAUAUUUGCCGUGAUCAUAAUUCUCAUCUUAACAGGACUUUUAACUCUGGGUGUGAAAGAGUCAGCCAUGGUCAACAAAAUAUUCACGUGUAUCAACGUUCUGGUCCUGGGCUUCAUCAUGGUGUCGGGAUUUGUGAAAGGAUCAAUUAAAAACUGGCAGCUCACGGAGGAGGAUUUCCAGAACACGUCUAGUCGCCUCUGCCUGAACAAUGACACGGAGGAGGGGAGACCUGGUGUCGGGGGCUUCAUGCCCUUCGGGGUCUCCGGUAUCCUGUCGGGGGCAGCUACCUGCUUCUACGCGUUCGUGGGCUUCGACUGCAUCGCCACCACAGGGGAGGAGGUCAAGAACCCCCAGAAGGCCAUCCCCGUGGGCAUCGUCGCGUCCCUCCUGAUCUGCUUCGUCGCCUACUUCGGGGUGUCGGCCGCCCUCACGCUCAUGAUGCCGUACUUCUGCCUGGACAAGGACAGCCCCCUGCCAGACGCCUUCAAGUACGUGGGCUGGGAGGGCGCCAAGUACGCAGUGGCCAUCGGCUCCCUCUGUGCCCUUUCCACCAGCCUUUUAGGGUCCAUGUUUCCCAUGCCUCGAGUUAUCUAUGCCAUGGCUGAAGAUGGGCUGCUGUUUAAAUUUUUGGCCCAGAUCAACAAUAGGACCAAAACACCAAUAAUCGCCACGUUAACCUCAGGUGCCAUUGCUGGCGUGAUGGCCUUCCUCUUCGACCUGAAGGACUUGGUGGACCUCAUGUCCAUUGGCACUCUCCUGGCCUACUCUCUGGUGGCCGCCUGUGUGUUGGUCUUACGGUAUCAACCAGAGCAGCCUAACAUGGUAUACCAGAUGGCCAGGACCAGUGACGAGCUCGACCCAGUCUACCAGAACGAGUUGGUGAGCACCAGCGAUUCCCAGACGGGCUUUUUACCAGAAGCAGAAAAGUUUUCUCUGAAAACCAUACUCUCACCCAGAAAUACAGAGCCUUCCAAAUUCUCUGGGCUCAUUGUGAACAUCUCAACCAGCCUCAUAGCCCUGCUGGUCGUCACCUUCUGCACGGUGGCUGUGCUUGGCAAGGGGGCCCUGGUAAAUGGGGAGCUGUGGGCAGUCUUCGUGCUCAUGGGCUCCGCCUUCCUCUGCUGCGUGGUCACAGCCGUCAUCUGGCGGCAGCCCGAGAGCAAGACCAAGCUCUCGUUCAAGGUGCCCUUCUUGCCCGUCCUUCCCGUCCUGAGCAUCUUUGUGAACGUCUAUCUCAUGAUGCAGCUGGACCAAGGCACAUGGGUCCGGUUUGCAGUGUGGAUGCUGAUAGGCUUCUUCAUCUACUUUGGCUACGGUCUCCGGCACAGCGAGGAGGCGUCCCUGGCCGCCGACCCAGCAAGGACUCCUGACGGUCACUUGGACCAUUGCAAGUGACGCACAGCCCUGCCCCCAAGGCCCCGGCAGCACCUCGCCCCCCUCGCGCACCCACAGAGCACAGUUGCCACGACGGGGUGGCCCGCGACCCGCGUGUCCUGCUCAGGCCGGCUCGCUGGGCCCGUCCCCUGGCAGCUCCCAGCUGGGGCCACGGGGCCGAGGCUGCCCACCUGCCUCUGAGCCUCUCCCUGAGCAAGACGGCAGCCCUUCUCCUCGCCGGCCGGGCGCCCCUGCUGCUGCGGCCUCGGGCAGAAUGGAGGUCAUCUUCUCUCGUCACCUGAGCGGUCCGGCCUCCCUUCCAGGGACUGUGCUGGACACUCCGGUCCCCGCCUCCCCGCCCGGCCCCGAAGAGCCGCCCCGGAUGCCAGCUGAGCACCACGACACGGUCUGUCCCCAGCUGUGCCACCCCAAGCCUGAGGACAGCGGUUUAGUUUACUUAGGAAGGAAAACUAGACGGUCUCCUUCUCCUGCUUCUGCCCUCCGAGCUGCCUCCAGAGGGGUCGUGAGGACUGCGGUCUCCCCCCUCCUUCCAGGCAGGGGCUCCGGCCCCCCUCGCACACUGCACACUCGGGCCGCAGGCCGGGCUCUGCAUGGGGCCAGGGCAGUGGCUACUCCACCCGGACUUCCUGCAGCCACCAGCCGUCCAGGCCCCGGGCCAGUUCCUGCUGCUCUGGCGUGUCUCAGCGCCGCCGAGUCCUGAGUAACUGGAAUGUGACUGUUUCUGUAGGACGCGCCUCGAAUGAGCAGAGCGGAGAACAGCGCUUCCUGUGGUCCUGGCUCCUCCCUGAGUCCUCCUGCCACUCGUAGGUCGGUGUCUUGGGUCUCAAGGUUCCCAAGGCCGGCGUCCGCUCGUCCUGAGUGACGGCGUGGCCCUCCAGCUGCUUCUGGCCCCUCUUGUGUCUUAUCCUCACGUGGAGUCCUUCUGUCCGUCGCUGUGAAUCAGUCACUCCACCACAUUCAGUUGGCGCUUAACAGUGGCGCGGAACACAGCCGAGUAAUUAAUUACCCCGAAUUGUCCAGGGUGCGGGGUCUGCAUGUGAGAUGGUUUGGGGUCACAUUGCUGUGCCUCUCGUGUGGGUGUGUGUCGUCCACAUGCUGCGGGUUGGUGACCCUGCCCCGUACCCCUGCCUCGGUGUCCGUGUGUCCCUGUGCACACGGCACUCCCUCCCGAGGCCCUGGGGACACUCCUGGUAGCCGGGCCGAGUCUUCCUUCCCGAGAGAGUGUAAUUCAGUAGACGGAAGGGCCCGUGUUGGCAGGAGGUGAGGGCCAGGCAUGUUUUACUCCACAGAAAAUGUAAAUGCUGCUUUUGAAGCUUAGCUCCCCAUAUCUUCCCCCUCUGGCCUUUGUCACAAAUCUGGUAGAAAGAAGCCUGAUGAACUGAUGGCACUUGGCUUUUCUCCCUCUGCCCCAGAAAGUUCUUGGAGAAAAAUGCAAGAAUGAGUGAAGCGGCCAAAUGGCAGGGUCAGCCUUCGUUCUAGGCUCUGGCCACUCUGGUCACUCGUGGAAGCUUUAUUCUCAGUAUCACUUGUGAAUCUUCCAGCGGGAGGAUUAUAAGAGCCCAAAGCUUGGAUUUCCAAAGAAAGAGGCAGAGAGCGUGAGGGAAAGAGGGUGUCCAAGAAAGGUGGCAGGUUGAGAGGUGUUUUUUCUCUUUUUCGUUCUGGCUGAAAUUUCCCCGUGUGACACCCCCCAGCAGACUGCACGACUGACGUUUCAGCCAGCAGCGCUCGUGGCUCUCCAGCCAAGAAGGUGUGUCUCAGCAUCUCACGGGGCGAGCGCGUCCUGACACGUGGUCCCCUUCCUCACCCAGAGCCGCGAAGCGCCGCGCAGAAGGGCAGUGGCUGCCUCGAGAAGCCCCCCGCCCUCCCCCCCGGAAAGAGCGCCUGGGGUCCCGGGAUGGGGCCUGUUGAGAGCGGGUCUUCGUACCGCUGCCGAGGGUUUUCUCUUCUGUGCGUGGGGCGGUGCUGCCAGGAACGGCGUUUGGUGGGCGCCUCCGAAGUCAGUGGGCUCUCUGAUCACACCCCUCCUUCCUGGCCCUGAGCUGGACAUGCGCACAGACACGUACACACACAGACCUGCCAGACAGACACACGGACACAGACACACAGCCAAAAGUAACCGCCGGAAGUGCCCGACGGGUUCACAUCCCAGCCCCUCCCGCACUCGGUUCCACGGCUCGGCUACGUUUUCCUGCAGGGUCAGGAGUUCCACAUUUCCAGUGACGCGCCCUCCGGGACACCGUGUCUCCUUUUAUCUGUGCACCAGCCCCAAACAGUCACAUUGGAAAGACCCGCUUGUGGUGAGGAAGCGCGCCUUCCUGCCGCCCGUGGCCCCCUCCCUGCGUGUCCACGGCCUUGUGAAAGCCCACGCGGGGUCCCCGGGACCUGUGCCAAAGUGAGGGGUGCGGGGUCUCCGGGGAGGCAGCGGGGCCCUGAGCCACCCCCCCGCCCCGGGCGGGGAUGGGGGCCUCGGGCAGGAGCUCGAGCCUCCGCACGGCCCCCGGCUCACCUGCUCGCCCCUCCUCUGCCCGACUUUGGGCCGGCUUUGCUUUUACAAACCCAGAGGGCCCCGUGACGGAGCCAUCUUUCCAGGCCGUUGUGGAGAAGCUGCUGAGUUUAUACUGUCGUCAGGGUCACUCGCGUCUCCCCCACUCUGGGUUUUGUCCCGUUGAGUCCGUCUCCAUCAGGUGAUCGGCUUUCUGGCUCCGUGUAGUUUGGACACCACGGGCCUCGCCCUGCCCUGUGUCCACAGGUGACCGCAGCACUGCGGAGGCUUCUCUGCCCACCCCGAGCCCCCGGGCCCGUGACACUCCCUUCUCCACCUCUGACACGUCUGUUCACACCUGGGAGGGGCGCGGGCCCAGCAGGAGCCUCGCGAUGUGUUUGCUGUGCUUUGUGCAUGGCGUCGGGGCGGACGGCGGGAGGCGGGGGGGGACCCGGGCUGUACCAGGUCGCCUCCCCUCCACCCCCUCCUCCCGGCAGCCAGGGUGAGUUGACAGGUCUUGCCGUCCCGCCUAGGAUGGCGUCUAGCCUGAUGUAGGCAGAGCUGCCAGCAUCGGCUGUGUGGACACGUCUCCUAAUGGCCCCACCCAGACUGUAGGCGAGCCCACGGGCAUUUGAGGGGCCUCACUGCUGGAGAAAAGCUGCCUGGCUUCAUGCUGGGACCUGUCUUUCCUGACCUGGGUGCCCCGCUUUGACACAUUAAGAGCCGCUUGUUCUGUUGGCACCCGAGAACCACCCCCGUGGAGACAGGAGGGAGGGGACUUGGUGCCAGGCCCGGUGGCCCGGGUGCUCUAGGAUGGAUGGAGAGGCAUGACCACCAUGACCACACUCUUUGGGCGCAGGCGUGUGACGCUUGUGUGAGUUAACUUCAGAUGGAACUAAAUAUGUGUUGUGCAUAAUUGUUAGGUGUAAUUUAAAAUGCAUCUGUUUGCCUUGGUAAUGAGAGUAUUGUAUGUAAGGCUCCUUAGGGAGAGCAAGAUGUACAUUUUAUCAGACUCUUGUGGACUUUUUUGGGUAACGAAAUGCUUUAUUGGUCCAGUGGUGCAAGAAGCUACAUACAUUCUGUAUCUCAUCAUCGUAGUUACAAUACCUAAUGGGAGGUUAAGGCAGAAAACAAAAGUCAACUGACCUUCCUGUUCAUCACUAUGGCCCAGUCUGUGCCCGUUGCUUCGCUGGGUGACAGUGCUCUUUCAAGAGGGGCGUGGACUGGCCAAGGGUCUCGGGGCGCAGUUCUCCGGAGCCCCCCUGGCCCACCCUGUAAAUGUGUUGAACUGCUGAAAACCCCCAUGAGAUGAAAGACCUUGGCUUGAAGUCCAAAUGGGAUUUCUCCAAACAGAGUCAGGGAGGAGGGCUGGGAAGAUGCAUUCAGACUUUGUUAAAUUAUUAACAAGGUAUAUGAUUUUGUGUUUCUUGAUGACAAACUUUUUAAGUUUGGGGCUUAUUUUCCCAUUGGAGAAGUUAUAUAUUUAAGAUAAGUUUCCUGCUUACGUUGUGCCUUUCAGCCUUGAUGGGUCUAAGGAGCACAGAGGGUGAUGAUCUUCUUGAGGGUUGGUUUCUAAUCAAACCUGAAGAGCUGUGGUUUCUUCAGUACACUUUUUCUUCUACUGAACGUGGAGCCAUUAUUAAGAGAAUUGUGUGUUUUUUAUUAUGUAAAUUGUAUAAUAUUUUUGCUUGUUUGAUGUUCUGUUUUUCUAAUAGUUUUCUUAUAGUUUCUUAUAACUGUGAUACUAGAUUUAGAUUCUGACGCUAACUGCAAAUCAGAUGGGCCUCUGCUGGUCCCCCCGUUUUUAUUUUAAGGACAAGAGUAGAUGUCGUCCAUCACCUUUAAAAAAUGUGAACUUCUGCUCUGUAUCCCAGUUUUGCUGACAACACUGCAUUGAUACCGUACUUCAUGUUGUAAAGUCAAGCUCUUUUGUGGUACAUCCUCUCAUGCUUCCGCAAAUCCUAAUAAAUUCCGUCUAUGG